UACAGAGGUCUCAAGCGUUGUUCGGAUUCAUUGGGCGUAAAGCGUGUGUAGGCGGCGGCCUAAGUACCUUGUGAAAUCCCACGGCUCACCCGUGGAACUGCUCGGUAUACUGGGUCGCUUGAGCCACUUAGGGGCUACCGGAACAAAUGGUGGAGCGGUGAAAUGCGUAGAUAUCAUUUGGAACGCCAAUGGUGAAAACAGGUAGCUGGGAGUGUGCUGACGCUGAGACACGAAAGCCAGGGGAGCAAACGGG
rnacentral:rRNA from 1 species